UUUUUCCCUCUCUUUUUUGUUCCCUCAAGCUAUUUUAAAUAUCAUGCUCAUUUUCCCCCACCCACCAUAAAAAGCUUCUUCCCAAUUCACCAAAUGAACCCACAAUUUCAUUCGCACCGUCCCUCAUAUGUCCGUUCUUCCCCUAAUCUAGUACAUUUGUGACGGGUAAAUAGAUCCUUCGCCGGCGUCCAGCGUCCUUCAAAGCGGCAAAAACUUAAAAUUCUCCUGUUGACCCCAAAACCUAAUCCUAGACUAGUAAGUAAUUACUCUCCCC
rnacentral:lncRNA from 1 species